rnacentral:rRNA from 1 species
AGUGAAAGGGCAUAUCGCCCUUUCUUUUCUGAACCGUAGGGAGGUUCAGGAACAAGAGCUGGGCAAGACCGGUGCCAGCCGCCGCAGUAAUACCGGCAGCUCGAGUGAUGACCGAUCUUAUUGGGCCUAAAGCGUCCGUAGCUGGCCGCGCAAGUCCGUCGGGAAAUCCACCCGCUUAACGGGUGGGCGUCCGGCGGAAACUGUGCGGCUUGGGACAGGAAGGCUCGAGGGGUACGUUCGGGGUAGGAGUGAAAUCCCGUAAUCCUGAACGGACCGCCGAUGGCGAAAGCACCUCGAGAGGACUGAUCCGACAGUGAGGGACGAAAGCUGGGGUCUCGAACCGGAUUAGAUACCCGGGUAGUCCCAGCCGUAAACGAUGUUCGCUAGGUGUGCCACUCACUACGAGUGAGUGGUGUGCCGCAGGGAAGCCGCUAAGCGAACCGC